rnacentral:rRNA from 1 species
UACGUAGGGUGCAAGCGUUGUCCGGAUUUAUUGGGCGUAAAGAGCUCGUAGGCGGUUUGUCGCGUCGGAUGUGAAAACCCAGGGCUCAACCCUGGGCCUGCAUUCGAUACGGGCAGACUAGAGUAUGGCAGGGGAGACUGGAAUUCCUGGUGUAGCGGUGAAAUGCGCAGAUAUCAGGAGGAACACCAAUAGCGAAGGCAGCUCGCUGGGACGGUACUGACGCUAAGGCGCGAAAGCGUGGGGAGCGAACAGG